rnacentral:rRNA from 1 species
GAUGAACGCUGGCGGCGUGCCUAAUACAUGCAAGUCGAGCGAACAGACGAGGAGCUUGCUCCUCUGACGUUAGCUGCGGACGGGUGAGUAACACGUGGAUAACCUACCUAUAAGACUGGGAUAACUUCGGGAAACCGGAGCUAAUACCGGAUAAUAUAUUGAACCGCAUGGUUCAAUAGUGAAAGACGGUUUUGCUGUCACUUAUAGAUGGAUCCGCGCCGCAUUAGCUAGUUGGUAAGGUAACGGCUUACCAAGGCAACGAUGCGUAGCCGACCUGAGAGGGUGAUCGGCCAAACUGGAACUGAGACACGGUCCAGACUCCUACGGGAGGCAGCAGUAGGGAAUCUUCCGCAAUGGGCGAAAGCUUGACGGAGCAACGCCGCGUGAGUGAUGAAGGUCUUCGGAUCGUAAAACUCUGUUAUUAGGGAAGAACAAAUGUGUAAGUAACUAUGCACGUCUUGACGGUACCUAAUCAGAAAGCCACGGCUAACUACGUG